rnacentral:misc_RNA from 1 species
AAAAAAAAAAAAAAAAAGUGUCAAAACCAGCAAAUGGGAAGCCAACAUCUCUCUCUCCCUCAUUCUCUCUCUCUUAAUUGGAGAUGAAUAUCCAUUUCCAGUUAGCAUAGCAAUCAGAAGCUGUAGAGCAUAUUGUGUUGGAAGGUGCUUAUAAGAAAAAAUGAAAAACUAAUUAGAAGUCAUCAUCACCUCAAGUAUCAUAGGGUUGGAGCCUAUUCUAUGAGUACCAAACCUCAUGAGGAGUGAACGUAUGGAUCACUCCUUUUGUACAUUAGCACAUGUUAAAAAAUGGAACUGCAUUCCUCUGCUCGUAGGUUUAAUUUAAAUGCUGUAGUUGGAGAUGUGUUGCUAUCUAGCCUAUCUUGAUGAACCAAAAGUGAAAAGCGUUUGGUAAAUUCAGGAGUUCUUAUGUGAUAGGUGCUAGAAGUGAGCAACCUCUAGAUAGUUGGCACGUACUAACCUGCAAGUACAUAUAAGGGUUAUAAUGAGGAUGGAGAGUUUCUUGUCCAUGAACCUCCAAUGAUAAAGUCAGUGACUUGAAUUAUCAAAGAAGACGAUCCAGAGAGUUAGAGUUUUAGAGAUCCUUACUUAAGUCUUCAUUUCUUCUAUUUACACCAGUUUUUCAUGGUUUCGGGUGGGAUAAGUGUCACCUUCUUGCGGACAGGAUGUUGCUAGCCAAUUAUGUAUUGAAGUGAUUUAUGGCGGACUUGCGUGUUGAGCAUCCUGGUGACUUGUUUAAGGUUAUAUACCUCUCUAGGGUUAUUCAAGAGUGGUUUGUGUUAAAGUAGUGCAAUGAUGAUAUCUUUGUCUAGACACUUCAUUUAUCAUGCGGUUUCUUGGGAAAUCCCACAUAAGCAAGAGCAAGGCAGUUAAUGCCACUAUCGGAGACCAUAGCAGUGAGAGUCCUCAAUACAUAGUAUGCGUAAAAGAAAAUGGUUGCCCUGCUGUAUGCCAAUAUAG